UACGUAGGGCGCAAGCGUUGUCCGGAAUUAUUGGGCGUAAAGAGCUCGUAGGCGGCCUGUUGCGUCCGCUGUGAAAUCCCGGGGCUUAACCCCGGGCUUGCAGUGGAUACGGGCAGGCUGGAGGCAGGCAGGGGAGAACGGAAUUCCCGGUGUAGCGGUGAAAUGCGCAGAUAUCGGGAGGAACACCGAUGGCGAAGGCAGGUCUCUGGGCAUUAACUGACGCUGAGGAGCGAAAGCAUGGGGAGCGAACAGG
rnacentral:rRNA from 1 species